GAUGAACGCUAGCGGCAGGCUUAAUACAUGCAAGUCGAACGGCAAGGACUUUCGGGUCCCUAGAGUGGCGCACGGGUGAGUAACACGUACACAACAUACCCUAUAUUGGAGGAUAGCCUUGGGAAACUGGGGGUAAUAUUCCAUAGUAUUUAUUGGAGGCAUCUCUGAUAAAUUAAAGAGCAAUCGAUAUAGGAUUGGUGUGCGUCCCAUUAGCUAGUUGGUAGGGUAACGGCCUACCAAGGCUACGAUGGGUAGCUGGCGUGAGAGCGCGACCAGCCACACUGGAACUGAGACACGGUCCAGACUCCUACGGGAGGCAGCAGUAGGGAAUAUUGGACAAUGGAGGCAACUCUGAUCCAGCCAUGCCGCGUGGAGGAUGACUGCCCUCUGGGUUGUAAACUCCUUUUGUUCAGGAAGAAACCUCCUCAUUUAUGAGUGAGCUGACGGUACUGUAAGAAUAAGCACCGGCUAACUCCGUGCCAGCAGCCGCGGUAAU
rnacentral:rRNA from 1 species